UAUCCAGGGAUGGGAAUCGAACCCACAGUGUUCCGCUUACCGGGCAGAUGCCAUGUCCACUAGGCUAUUCUGGAC
rnacentral:tRNA from 1 species